rnacentral:sRNA from 1 species
ACUGAUCUCUUAGCAACAAGAAGCACCUUUAUAAAAGAUGGCACACGAAGAGUGAUUGCCAGAAAAGCCACCCGGUUCUUAAACAGCCGCGCAUCAUUAGCAAAACUCACCAUCUUCAAGAGUCCAAAAACUAGAAGUGACCAGCAGACCCAGGUACCCAGGGAUUGAAGACUUAAAUGUCUUUCCAGAAAAUUGGAAUUAGAAAUGAGAAUUGUUACUUCAUCUGUACUCCUUCAAUAAAGAUUGUGUAAUUAUAAACCCACUUGGGGCACUCAAAGGGCAUAAAAAAGGAGAUAUUUUAUGGGGAUGAAAUAAAAAUCCUCCUAAUUGAGCUUGGAAACAGUGUGACACAGAGAUACUGCAGAUCUAAGAAAACAGACUAGAAAAUUGCAGUUUCAAUAAAGA